UCUGGCAGCAGAAACGUCGGGUCACAAGGAAGAUGAUGCCCUAGUCCAGAAGCAGCUGGGCUAUGUCACUCUAAAGGUGUCAUCAAAGAAGAAAAGCCUGAGUAGGGGAAGCAGAUGGGCCCUGCGUGUGCGGACAUCGCCGGGGCCAAGCUAACCCCGCGCUCCCGGAAAAACACUCCACACGGGGCACACACCAGCACAACAAAAGGCGCCUCCCGAA